UCCGGCUUAUCACCGGCAGUUUCUUUAGAGUGCCCAACUAAAUGGUGGCAACUAAAGACGAGGGUUGCGCUCGUUGCGGGACUUAACCCAACAUCUCACGACACGGGCUGACGACAGCCAUGCAGCACCUGUGUACGGACUCCGAAGAGGGGCCGAUGUUUCCACCAGCUUUCCCGUACAUGUCAAGCCCAGGUAAGGUUCUUCGCGUUGCUUCGAAUUAAACCACAUGCUCCACCGCUUGUGCAGGCCCCCGUCAAUUUCUUUGAGUUUUAACCUUGCGGCCGUACUCCCCAGGCGGAUAACUUAAUGCGUUAGCUGCGCCACCAAAAGCCUAAGGCCCCUGACAGCUAGUUAUCAUCGUUUACGG
rnacentral:misc_RNA from 1 species